ACAGAUGCUUUUACAGCUCGCAUUGGUGGGAAGAUCUGGCACAAAUGAAGUAUCUAUAAGGAGCAGCAGAGUCAAGGAAGACACCAAAUGAGCUACACUGUUUUGGACUCCCCAACACAACCCAGCCACCGGCUGAAUGCCACCAAAUUACCUUCUAGUUAAAGCUUUAUGGAGCAAACGAAUCACCUAUUCAAUAUCUGCUUGAAUUUCUGACUCAAAAUAUAUCAGGUAUAAAAUGAUGGUUUUUUUAAGCCACUAAGUCUUGGGGGAGUUUAUUAUAAAGCAAUAGAUAAUUUUGAAAAUAAAUAGAACAAGCUGAAGUCUCAAUAAGAA
rnacentral:lncRNA from 1 species